rnacentral:rRNA from 1 species
AGUGAACGCUGGCGGCAGGCCUAACACAUGCAAGUCGAACGGCAGCACAGGGGAGCUUGCUCCCUGGGUGGCGAGUGGCGGACGGGUGAGGAAUACAUCGGAAUCUACCCUUUCGUGGGGGAUAACGUAGGGAAACUUACGCUAAUACCGCAUACGAUCUGAGGAUGAAAGCAGGGGACCGCAAGGCCUUGCGCGAUUGGAUGAGCCGAUGUCCGAUUAGCUAGUUGGCGGGGUAAAGGCCCACCAAGGGGACGAUCGGUAGCUGGUCUGAGAGGAUGAUCAGCCACACUGGAACUGAGACACGGUCCAGACUCCUACGGGAGGCAGAAGUGGGGAAUAUUGGACAAUGGGCGCAAGCCUGAUCCAGCCAUGCCGCGUGUGUGGAGAAGGCCUUCGGGUUGUAAAGCACUUUUGUUGGGAAAGAAAUCCUGUCGGCUAAUACCCGGCGGGGAUGACGGUACCCAAAGAAUAAGCACCGGCUAACUUCGUGCCAGCCGCCGCAGUAAGAC